rnacentral:rRNA from 1 species
UACAGAGGUCUCAAGCGUUGUUCGGAUUCAUUGGGCGUAAAGGGUGCGUAGGCGGCGCGGUAAGUCGGGUGUGAAAUCUCGGGGCUUAACUCCGAAACUGCAUUCGAUACUGCCGUGCUUGAGGACUGGAGAGGAGACUGGAAUUUACGGUGUAGCAGUGAAAUGCGUAGAUAUCGUAAGGAAGACCAGUGGCGAAGGCGGGUCUCUAGACAGUUCCUGACGCUGAAGUACGAAGGCCAGGGGAGCAAACGGG